CCUGAUUACAACAACCUUCAAGCGCGCCACUGCACCGAGGAAGAACACACAGACACAGCAAUGGAUUGUGCUUCACAUACCAACAGCCAAAAUGCCUGCAAUAAAGAAAAACCUGUUGCCAAAUGUCCUACAAAAUCAGGCCAAGACAUAUCAUGCCAAGACAUAUCAGGCCAAUCCAUAUCAGGCCAAACCAUAUCAGGCGCUGUGAGCGGCAAUAUUUCCUUUGGCAACCAGACCAAUAACCCCAGUCAUACCGGUUAACAAAAAACUCCCAGAAAAACUGUCGCACCCAGCAUCACCAUAGCCAACAUAACAGGUGGCAGAGUGGGUCUCUACUACAAGGCAGAGAAGAUGGCUCUCUGUGACCUCAUCAAGGGGAGUCAACUCAAGGGCGAAUCCAUCCUUAUCCUGGAAGACACCUUUAAGAAGACCCCUCUUCCUCAGAACCUCGAUUUCACUGGCUUCCAAGUAGAAAGUGACAAUACACACAGAUUAAACUACAUACAAAUUAUUGAU